rnacentral:rRNA from 1 species
AACGAACGCUGGCGGCAGGCUUAACACAUGCAAGUCGAACGCCCCGCAAGGGGAGUGGCAGACGGGUGAGUAACGCGUGGGAACGUGCCCUUCGCUUCGGAAUAUUCCCGGGAAACUGGGAGCAAUGCCGGAUACGCCGAAUCGGGAAAGAUUUAUCGGCGAAGGAUCGGCCCGCGUUAGAUUAGGUAGUUGGUGGGGCAAUGGCCUACCAAGCCUACGAUCUAUAGCUGGUCUGAGAGGAUGAUCAGCCACACUGGGACUGAGACACGGCCCAGACUCCUACGGGAGGCAGCAGUGGGGAAUCUUGGACAAUGGGCGCAAGCCUGAUCCAGCCAUGCCGCGUGAGUGAAGAAGGCCUUAGGGUUGUAAAACUCUUUCGCCGGUGAAGAUAAUGACGGUAGCCGGAGAAGAAGCCCCGGCUAACUUCGUGCCAGCAGCCGCCGUAACAC